CCUACGGGAGGCAGCAGUGAGGAAUAUUGGUCAAUGGGCGAGAGCCUGAACCAGCCAAGUCGCGUGAGGGAAGACGGUCCUAUGGAUUGUAAACCUCUUUUGUCGGGGAGCAAAAGACGCCACGCGUGCCGUUUCGAGAGUACCCGGAGAAAAAGCAUCGGCUAACUCCGUGCCAGCAGCCGCGGUAAUACGGAGGAUGCGAGCGUUAUCCGGAUUUAUUGGGUUUAAAGGGUGCGCAGGCGGCAGAUUAAGUCAGCGGUAAAAUUUAGGGGCUAAACCUCGACAAGCCGUUGAAACUGGCUUUCUUGAGUGAGCGAGAAGUAGGCGGAAUGCGUGGUGUAGCGGUGAAAUGCAUAGAUAUCACGCAGAACUCCGAUUGCGAAGGCAGCUCACUGGCCUGCAACUGACACUCAGGCUCGAAAGUGUGGGUAUCGAACAGGAUUAGAUACCCGAGUAGUC
rnacentral:rRNA from 1 species